GGUCAGGAAUCUGGGGCCAGAAAAAAAAAAGAAAAAGAAAAAGAAUUUGGUGUGACAGCUUGUCUUUCUCUUUUCGAUUCGCCUUGCAGGAAGAUGUCGUAGUUACAAAUUUUAAAAAGGAUAACGAUAGUUUAGGCUGGGAGUUUUGCUAAAAAUGGUAUGUGUGAGUUUAUUCGUGCGAGAUCAAUUCGUCCACUUUUCGAUGGUGUUGUGAAUUUAUGAUUCCUUGUUACAGUUUUAGGAUAAAGUUCUACCACGCGGCGGGUGGGUGUCGGCCAUCACGAUUUGGUGGCGACAUGGGUGAAACGUGCGUGUUGUUAUGUUGUUGUGAUUAAGAAU